UUACAUUUAUCUUUUAAAAGUGCAACAUUUUAUUUGCAAAACUGAGGAUGACACAAAUGAUACUUGCAAACCCUGUGAAUGGGUUACACUGACCUCUAGGUCUAAUAUCAAAUAUACAGCAUAUUUUAAUAUAGAUUCCCUAAAAAAAUUUAAAUUCAGCAACAACUCCUUAGCAUAUCAUAUUUCAGUCCUUUCUCUCAAAUAGUAAAAUUAUCUUUUCUUCAACUCAUCAGGUGACAUUGACACCUCACUCUCACCCUGACUCCCACCAUUAUCCUAGAGGAUUUUAGCUUUCAUGGUGAUAAUUCAACAGAUCCAACAACUAUUUACCUGGUGUCUAUUGUAUGCUGAGUACUGUUUUAUAAGUUAUGGAUAUGGUAGCCAAAUAAGAUAGUUUUAAGGUCUUGCUUUUGAGGAGUUCCUGAUCUGGUGUGGGCUACAGCAAAGAAAUAAGCAAACAAAUAACAUAGUUUCAGAGAGUGAUAAGCACUAGGGGAAAAAAAAAGCAGAAUAAAGGCAAAGAUAAUAAUGAAGGAGGGAUUCCAUUUUUUACAGAGACAAACAGGUGACAUUUGAGCUUGACCUGCGUAAGAUGGAGAAGGUGUGUGGAAUUCUGGGCAGACAAGAGCAAGUGUAACAGCCUGAAAUAGGAAUAAGCAUGUCAUUUUUAAGAAAUGGCAAGAAGGCCAGGAAAGAGGAGGAGAUUGUUAUGGCAAAGGUGGAAGAGGCAGGCAGGGUCAGAUCAUGGGGGCCUGUGUAGGCCAGAGUCCUAAUGGAAAUGACAAGUCUUUGAAUGUUUAUAGCAAAGAAGUAAUGCAAACUGAUUUGUGUUUUAUAAAGCUCAGUUUGUCUGAUGUGUAGAGAAUUGAUUCUAAUAGGUAUGAGUGAUAGUCAAGUGUAUAAGGCUAGUGGUGGUGAUCCUGGUGACGGAAGAUGGUGGUAUGAAUAAGCUGCUGGGAUGGAAGAUGUGAGUAACAGCCUAAAAUAGAAGGCAUUUCAGCUGUGUUUAAUAGUUUGAGUAGGAGAGUAGAGGUCAGAGGAUUAGAUUAAUCUGAAGGUGGAGGGAAGUUGUUUUAAGGACAGACAUAAGGAAGAAAAUGGAUUGAGAGAUUUGUGGGUGCCCAGGAAGAAAGAUUGAAAUGAAAGACCAGUGUUCAGGAAGGGAACAAAACAAAAGUUAAACCAGAAUGGGCUGAUCGAUUAGGAACAAUUGAUGGGAACAAAAUUCAUAGAAUUAAAAGAAUUGAUGCAGAUGAAUAGCAAACACAAUAAUAGCAAAGGAUAGUAGGUUAUAGGCAGAGCAUGGAGUAUUGUGAUUUGAUUUUAGAGGUGCAGCAAUUCUGAGUUGCUCAUUCCAGUCUGUUAUUUGUAAGCAUCCAUCCUCACUCUGUGAGUUGUACAGUAGCUUAUGUAGAAAUAAUGAUCAACUAGAUGCCCAUGGGUGGCCAUUUUGUACCUCCUCACUUGUCAGGCUUCCCUCCUCACUCCUCAGUUUUAUACUCCUGAUCUGAUUUAGUUCUGUUGGUUAACUCAUCAUCCAUUUGUGUUUCCAAUCUAAACAUCAUCAGUUUGAUGGCUGGUUAAUUUCCUUCUAAGGAACCUAAGUCUCCUUAUUAACUAUCGCUUUCUUCUUUUCUCUAUGACUCUCUGAAUAACCUUGAGGAUAGUAUCUUCAUGUUUUCAUCUAACCUCUGUACCUCUCAUCCUUAGGUUUUCCCCAGUGGACGUACCUCAUCUCUCCAAUAGGACUCACAACUGGAUAACCACAGGGUGUAGGGUGUGGCUACAGUGGUGUGUUUUAGAUGUGGGUUGAAGUUGAAAGCCACUAGAGGACAAGAAGACAAGAAAGUAUUGAGCUAGAAGAUUGGAUGAAAUUGAUUUUCAGGUUAAAACUACAUAAAAGUGGCUCCCCCCAACACUGCUUCUCAAUCUUACAAUCUUUCACUGGAAUGUUAACUUUCUUUCUUAUCAAGAUAAUUUUGUACAUUUCUCUUUUUGAGCCUUCAACUCCUCUUCUUUUGAUUCUCAGCUAAUAAUUCACAUAUUAUGUCACAGAGAAAAAUAGAAAAUCAAAGAGAACUAGCUCAUCUUACCACCAG
rnacentral:lncRNA from 1 species